rnacentral:lncRNA from 1 species
GAGUCGGCCCGGCUGUCCCGAGCGCCAUGUCGGGUUCUUCUAGCGUCGCCGCCAUGAAGAAGGUGGUCCAGCAACUCCGGCUGGAGGCUGGGCUCAACCGCGUGAAGGUUUCCCAGGCAGCUGCAGACUUGAAACAGUUCUGUCUGCAGAAUGCUCAACAUGACCCUCUGCUGACUGGAGUGUCUUCAAGUACAAAUCCCUUCAGACCCCAGAAAGUCUGCUCCUUUUUGUAGUCAGCUAUCUUGAGGUUUCUCAAACCACUUUUCAUGAACCAGUGAAUAUUCAAGAGAACUAAAUUUGAAGUCUGUACAAAAGCUUCUCUUUAACACGUGCCAUAAUACACUAUCUUCUGCUCGUCAGUCCUUAACAUCUACCUCUCUGAAUUUCAUGGAUUUCUGUCUCACAAGGUUUAACUAUUUUAUAUACACUGGCUGUAGCAUACAAUAAAGCAUCAUAC